GCAUCGGUUUAGCUCAAUGGUUACUUCCUACAUCAAACGUAUCUACUCAACCGGUCCGCGGGCUAGAGAGUUCAACCACGGGCGCUGUCCGAUGUUUUU
rnacentral:vault_RNA from 1 species